GAUAGCAGGGAUAGUGUGGACAUCUGCAAGGACGUGGGCAACUCAUUAGGGAGGAAUUUUCAGAACUAGAGAGGGAGACGCUGCAGUGAAAACUGGUGCUGAGGGAGAAUCACUACCCACCCUCUCACCCCAUGCCUCCUCCACCACCACCUCCACCCUCUUUCCACGUACGUAGUUGUGUUUAGAGAUACACAAUUGGAGGAAGCCCAGCUCUGGGUGACUACAAGAAGCUCUGUGUGCUAGGCACUGUGCUGGGGAAGGAAGGACAACAUCCCAUUGCCAUCCGAGCUUCAUUUCCAUCAGCAUUGAAGAAUCACUUAGAAAUCCCAAGCACCAUGAUCAAGGGUGACAGAAAUGAGAAAGAAGAACACCCUCUGCUCCCAGCCUGGAAAGAGAAUUUGAGCAUCAGGUUGUCUUAGCUGUCUCCUCAGAUGCUCCAUGUUUCACCCAUUUUCCUGGCCCCAAGCUUCUUGCUCAGCUGCAGCAGCCAUUACCAAGACUGAUGCAUGUGGCUGGAUUAGCCUUGACACUUGACCCUUAUCUGUGGAUUGAAUGGCCAGGGUCUCCACCACUUCCGGUUCCCAUGAACACACUGACCAGGAACUGUUACUGGAAGUGCAGGAGAUUACAGGUCCAGCUUCAGGAGAAUCUUCUGAGAACCCUUUUAGUAGUCUUUCCUGACCUGAACUCAUCUCUUCCUUACUACUUCCUGGAUCC